GAUGAACGCUAGCGGCAGGCUUAACACAUGCAAGUCGAGGGGUAUAGGUUUUCGGACCUAGAGACCGGCGCACGGGUGCGUAACGCGUAUGCAACCUACCUUUUACAGGGGGAUAGCCCAGAGAAAUUUGGAUUAAUACCUCAUAGUAUUAUGAUGUGGCAUCACAUUAUAAUUAAAGUCACAACGGUAAAAGAUGGGCAUGCGUCCCAUUAGCUAGAUGGUAAGGUAACGGCUUACCAUGGCUACGAUGGGUAGGGGUCCUGAGAGGGAGAUCCCCCACACUGGUACUGAGACACGGACCAGACUCCUACGGGAGGCAGCAGUGAGGAAUAUUGGUCAAUGGACGCAAGUCUGAACCAGCCAUGCCGCGUGCAGGAUGACGGUCCUAUGGAUUGUAAACUGCUUUUGUACGAGAAGAAACAACAUUACGUGUAAUGUCUUGACGGUAUCGUAAGAAUAAGGAUCGGCUAACUCCGUGCCAGCCGCCGC
rnacentral:rRNA from 1 species